rnacentral:pre_miRNA from 1 species
GUCUCACCGUGGGUUCCUUGCAAGCACUUCAUGAGGCAUUAUUUCAAACCCCACUGUGAAGUGUUUGGGGAACUCUUGGUGAUGC